AUGAAACCUCAUUUAAAGUUUUGUGCUCUUAUUCAAGGAUUUAUGCUUGUAGAAUUUUUUGUCUAUCAUGUGUGAUUGAGAAAAAAAUGCACCAUUUCAUCUAAUUGGACAACAUAAUACAAUUAAUAAAGAGCAGAUAUUUAAUGCAGCUAAGAUUUUUUUUUCAUUUUUUUUCUAACUAAAAUACUAUUUUUUAUUGAAUGCUA
rnacentral:lncRNA from 1 species